rnacentral:rRNA from 1 species
UAAAAACUUAAAAUUUAAAAGACUUGACGGUACUUCACACCAAACUAGAGGAGCCUGUCUAUUAACCGAUAAUCCACGAUCAACCCAACCCAUUCUGGCCUACAGUCUAUAUACCGCCGUCGCCAGCCUACCUUAUGAAAGAAACAAAGUAGACCAAACAGUACCACACUAACACGACAGGUCGAGGUGUAACUAAUGAAGGGGAUCAAGAUGGGCUACAUUUCUUAUAUUAAGAUACACGAAUAUACUAUGAAACUAGAAACUGAAGGCGGAUUUAGCAGUAAGUUGAGAACAACAUACUUAACCGAAAUCAAAGCAAUGAAGUGCGC